rnacentral:miRNA from 2 species
UGAAAUGUUCAGGACCACUUG